rnacentral:rRNA from 1 species
AAUGGACGCUGGCGGCAUGCCUUACACAUGCAAGUCGAACGGCAGCAUGACCUAGCUUGCUAGGUUGAUGGCGAGUGGCGAACGGGUGAGUAAUGCAUCGGAACGUGCCUUUUAGUGGGGGAUAACGUAGCGAAAGUUACGCUAAUACCGCAUAUUCUCUGAGGAGGAAAGCAGGGGGCCUUCGGGCCUUGCGCUAGAAGAGCGGCCGAUGUCGGAUUAGCUAGUUGGUGAGGUAAAGGCUCACCAAGGCAACGAUCCGUAGCGGGUCUGAGAGGAUGAUCCGCCACACUGGGACUGAGACACGGCCCAGACUCCUACGGGAGGCAGCAGUGGGGAAUUUUGGACAAUGGGCGCAAGCCUGAUCCAGCCAUGCCGCGUGAGUGAAGAAGGCCUUCGGGUUGUAAAGCUCUUUCGGCUGGGAAGAAAUCGCACUCUCUAAUACAGGGUGUGGAUGACGGUACCAGCAGAAGAAGCACCGGCUAACUACGUG